UUGGGAAUCUUGGACAAUGGGCGCAAGCCUGAUCCAGCCAUGCCGCGUGAGUGAUGAAGGCCCUAGGGUUGUAAAGCUCUUUUGCCAGGGAAGAUAAUGACUGUACCUGGAGAAUAAGCUCCGGCUAACUUCGUG
rnacentral:rRNA from 1 species